GCGAAAUAGCUCAGUUGGGAGGCGUUAGGUUGAAGAUCUAAAGACCCCUGGUUCAAUCCGGUUCCAGCA
rnacentral:tRNA from 1 species